AGAGUUUGAUCAUGGCUCAGAACGAACGCUGGCGGCGUGCUUAACACAUGCAAGUCGCGUGCGCAGUUUCCGUAGCAAUACGGAGAUGGGCGCACGGCGCACGGGUGCGUAACACGUGGGCAAUCUGCCCUUUGAUGGGGAAUAACCCGCCGAAAGGCGGGCUAAUUCCGCAUAAGAUUCCCGGAACUUCGGUUCUGGGAUUGAAAGCAGCAAUGCGUCGAAGGAGGAGCCCGCGCCCGAUUAGCUAGUUGGUGAGGUAACGGCUCACCAAGGCUAUGAUCGGUAGCUGGUCUGAGAGGAUGAUCAGCCACACUGGAACUGAGACACGGUCCAGACUCCUACGGGAGGCAGCAGUGGGGAAUCUUGCACAAUGGGCGAAAGCCUGAUGCAGCGACGCCGCGUGGGGGAUGAAGCAUUUCGGUGUGUAAACCCCUUUCGACUGGGAAGAAUACCUCGCAAGAGGGGUGACGGUACCAGUAGAAGAAGCCCCGGCUAACUACGUGCCAGCAGCCGCGGUAAGACGUAGGGGGCCAGCGUUGUUCGGAAUUACUGGGUGUAAAGGGUUCGUAGGCGGUGCGGCAAGUUGGGAGUGAAAUCUCUGGGCUUAACCCAGAGGCUGCUUCCAAAACUGCUGUGCUCGAGUGUGAGAGAGGCUCGUGGAAUUGCAGGUGUAGCGGUGAAAUGCGUAGAUAUCUGCAGGAACACCCGUGGCGAAAGCGGCGAGCUGGAUCACUACUGACGCUGAGGAACGAAAGCUAGGGGAGCAAACAGGAUUAGAUACCCCCGUAGUCC
rnacentral:rRNA from 1 species